rnacentral:rRNA from 1 species
UACAGAGGUGGCAAGCGUUGUUCGGAAUUACUGGGCGUAAAGGGCGCGUAGGCGGUCUUGUAAGUCUCGUGUGAAAUCCCUCGGCUUAACUGAGGAACUGCACGGGAUACUGCAUGACUUGAGAUCGGGAGAGGGAAGCGGAAUUCCGGGUGUAGCGGUGAAAUGCGUAGAUAUCCGGAGGAACACCUGCGGCGAAGGCGGGUUGCUGGGCCGACACUGACGCUGA